GAUGAACGCUGGCGGCGUGCCUAAUACAUGCAAGUAGAACGCUGAAGGAAGGAGCUUGCUCUUUCCGGAUGAGUUGCGAACGGGUGAGUAACGCGUAGGUAACCUGCCUGGUAGCGGGGGAUAACUAUUGGAAACGAUAGCUAAUACCGCAUAACAGUAGAUGUUGCAUGAUAUCUACUUAAAAGGUGCAAUUGCACCACUACCAGAUGGACCUGCGUUGUAUUAGCUAGUUGGUGAGGUAACGGCUCACCAAGGCGACGAUACAUAGCCGACCUGAGAGGGUGAUCGGCCACACGGGGACUGAGACACGGCCCAGACUCCUACGGGAGGCAGCAGUAGGGAAUCUUCGGCAAUGGACGGAAGUCUGACCGAGCAACGCCGCGUGAGUGAAGAAGGUUGUCGGAUCGUAAAGCUCUGUUGUAAGAGAAGAACGAGUGUGAGAGCGGAAAGUUCACACUGUGACGGUAUCUUACCAGAAAGGGACGGCUAACUACGUG
rnacentral:rRNA from 1 species